rnacentral:rRNA from 1 species
AUUGAACGCUGGCGGCAUGCCUUACACAUGCAAGUCGAACGGCAGCACGGGUGCUUGCACCUGGUGGCGAGUGGCGAACGGGUGAGUAAUACAUCGGAACGUACCUUAUCGUGGGGGAUAACGCAGCGAAAGCUGUGCUAAUACCGCAUACGCCCUGAGGGGGAAAGCGGGGGAUCGAAAGACCUCGCGCGAUUAGAGCGGCCGAUGCCUGAUUAGCUUGUUGGUGGGGUAAAAGCCCACCAAGGCGACGAUCAGUAGCUGGUCUGAGAGGACGAUCAGCCACACUGGGACUGAGACACGGCCCAGACUCCUACGGGAGGCAGCAGAGGGGAAUUGUAGACAAUGGGGGCAACCCUGAUCCAGAAAUGCCGCGUGAGUGAAGAAGGCCUUCGGGUUGUAAAGCUCUUUUGUCAGGGAAGAAACACCGGCUCUAACACAGUCCGGGAAUGACGGUACCUGAAGAAUAAGCACCGGCUAACUACGUGCCAGCCGCCGCCGUAA